rnacentral:rRNA from 1 species
UACGGGGGGGGCUAGCGUUGUUCGGAAUUACUGGGCGUAAAGGGCGCGUAGGCGGCCUACUAAGUCGGACGUGAAAUCCCUCGGCUCAACCGGGGAACUGCGUCCGAUACUGGUGGGCUCGAAUCCGGGAGAGGGAUGUGGAAUUCCAGGUGUAGCGGUGAAAUGCGUAGAUAUCUGGAGGAACACCGGUGGCGAAGGCAGCAUCCUGGACCGGUAUUGACGCUGAUGCGCGAAAGCCAGGGGAGCAAACAGG